CAGUCAUUUUCAGUAAAAUUUAGACUUAUUCCAUGAACACUGUUAUUUCAGAACCAAACAAAAAAAGGAGACUAUUAUUUCAAAACCAAACAAAUGUCUCAACAACCGACGAGGUAGGAGCUACAAGCAUAUCUCUAAACAAAGAAAAUUGUAUGGAGAAUUGAAACAAAGAAAAAUAAAGAGAAGAGAGAACGUACUGUACAUAGCAGUAAAUUUUCGGAUAUGGGUCAAGCUUUGAUGAAGGGGCCUGCAUCUCGCGAUGCAGGCAACGAUAUACAGGUUGACGACUCAGCUAUUUAGGAGUGCACGUAUCAGCUACUGGUGAGCCCCAAAUUCCUUCGGGACGUUGUCAGCUAUCUGGUUAAUUCAGUUUAUAGACAAUUUUAUUAUUCAGUACUCUUAGAGGCUUCAUAGACACAGUUCAGACAGUCAGAUAUUUGUUAUGUUAGCCUUGUAGACAGUUAUACUCAGUCGUUCAGUUGUUUUGGUUUAGCCAUGUUGGCUACUUUCAGAUAUAUUUCAGAUUGUCUAAGUAUUUCCGCAUUAUGAUUUCAGUCA